AGGGCCAUGGCCAGGGUUGUAGGGGUGAGGGAGGUUAACGCGAACAAGGGUCUUACUCCAUUGCCAUUAGCUUAAAGCAGUUGAAACUCCAGAAGGAAACGAUCAAAAUAGUAAACCCACCUUCAGGCUGAAAAAAAAAAAUCCCCUUUCUUCCCUAUUAAGAAACUAUAGGAAAAACUCAUUAUGACAGGAUCCAGGUCUUCCAGGCUCUCUUUCUAAAUCUUCCACGAGAGUCACUGCCUCCUCUCCAUUUUCUGGACAUUGUUCCUGUACCCAAUUCUGGAUCUCCCCAGGUAUCGCAGGACUUCCCUUUCCUCCACCCCAGUGAGACCAGUGUCCUGAAUCGACUCUGCCGGCUCGGCACAGACUAUAUUCGCUUCACUGAGUUCAUUGAACAGUACACGGGCCAUGUGCAACAGCAGGAUCACCAUCCAUCUCAACAGGGCCAAGGUGGGUUACAUGGAAUCUACCUGCGGGCCUUCUGCACAGGGCUGGAUUCUGUUUUGCAGCCUUAUCGCCAAGCACUGCUUGAUUUGGAACAAGA
rnacentral:sRNA from 1 species